GGUGCCGGUGGCGUACGCGCGCGUGAAGUUCCAGGCCUCGCGGGCCAGCGCGUCCAGUUCCGGCGUCAGGUCGGCGCCGCC
rnacentral:tRNA from 1 species